AGCAGAUUCUGGUUUGCUUCAUUUUCCAGUGCCAAACAAAUGAAUCAAAGAUUCUGCACAGUCCAGGAAAACUGCUUGCAGCUUGUGCUGAACACCCCCCCUGGAGCCGGCCAGAAUGGGGGAAAGCCACACAGAGCAUAAAUGCUGCAGACGCUGUGAUGGGCAGCUCAUUUUCCACGCGGAUUGUGUCAGCAGAGGCUAAUUGAAGCCAAAAUAAAAGGAGCCUUGAUGGAGGGAGGGACGGAGCUGAUCUUGCAGGUGAUAGAGACGGACACGCUGCUGAACGAGGGGCAGGUGGGAUCCGCACGAUACUCUGAUCGAGACGGAGCGCUACUUACAGGCACGGACCUCUGCCAUGACUGUGCCGUCUAUUUAUCUCCCGGUACUCUGU